CCCGCUGAACUUAAGCACAUUAGUAAGCGGAGGAAGAGAAACUAACAAGGAUUUCCCGAGUAAUGGCGAAUGAAAGGGAAAGAGCCCAGCACCGAAUCCUACGGCAUCUUGCUGAAUGGACCUGUGGUGUUAAGGUAAGCCUUUCCGACGGUUUGUGCUGAUCUAAUUCCCCUUGAGGGGGGCCAUCGCCCAUUGCGGGUGCUAGGCCCAUUGAACGGCCUUUCUGUCGGUUAGCGCUGCCGAUGAGUCGGGUUGCUUGAAAGUGCAGCCCUAAGUUGGAGGUAAACUCCUCCAAAGGCUAAAUACUUCCACGAGACCGAUAGCAAACAAGUACCGUGAGGGAAAGUUGCAAAGAACUUUGAAGAGAGAGUUCAAGAGGACGUGAAACCGCUUAGAAGCAAACGGAUGGAGCAGACACUAAGCCUCUUAUAUCCAACUGUUCUUAUACUGUCUUCAGCCGAGCCUGAUCGCGAGACGGUCGUCGGCCGUUAGGUCAGUUAACUACAGUGAAGCUAUGAGGGGCUGCGUCACGACCGAUGGUUUCACUAGCAUAAGGAAAGUUGGAUUCAGCUUGUGGGCUUGCUCGCAUUGCACUUCCUUCCAAUCCGGACCUAGCUGAGCUUUAUAUCGGGUAAUGACCGUACCUGCCUCUUGGCUCAUGCUACUUCGCAUGUUGGUUACGUGCCUCUUAGUCGUGUUUACACGACUAGGUAACCGCUGCUCCUAUUGCGUUGUAGACUUUGAGUUGGUACACAAGGUCAGUGGCGUCCGAGUCUGCCCCCCAUCCGACCCGUCUUGAAACACGG
rnacentral:rRNA from 1 species